rnacentral:sRNA from 1 species
AGCCGAGAUCGUGCCACUGCACUCCAGCCUGGGCGCCAGAGCGAGACUCUGUCUCAAAGAAAACAACAACAAAAUAAAAAAGAAAAGAAAAAGGAUUUCCUCUAGCAGCAACCAAUGAAAGAUGAGGCGAGGCUUGAAUGGAGCCCGUGGGUCGUCCUGCCUUAGCGUCUGAGUUCAGCUUGUGAAGUUAGUGGGCCGCAGAGGGCACUGCCUUCAUUCUGCUAAGAUGAAAAGGGCUGGUGGGAUCUUCGCAAGAGAGUCAGGGACUCACACUCAGCAAAAAGCGUUAGAGCCGAUUUUAAUGUGCGACCUUGACCUGCAUCUGUCAUGGAAAUUCCUUCCUCCUUUCCUUUGUUCCUCCCUCCCCCCCGCCUUUUUUUUUUUUUUUGGCAGAUGUACAGUUUGUUUAUAAUCACUGCGUAUGUCUUCUGCACACAGAAAGUAUGAAGUCUGAAGUUCCCACUUAAAGUUGAAAACUCGACGGCUGGGCACAGUGGCUCACACCUGUAAUCCCAGCACUUUGGGAGGCCAAGGGGGGUGAAUCACAAGGUCAGGAGAUCCAGACCAUCCUGGCUGACAUGGUGAAGCCCUGUCUCUACUAAAAAUACAAAAAUUAGCUGGGUGUGGUGGCACACACCUGUAAUCCCAGCUACUCGGGAGGCUGAGGCACGAGAAUCGCUUGAACCCAGGAGGUGGAGGUUGCAAUGGGCCGAGAUUGCACCACUGCACUCCAGCCUAGAUGACAGAGUGAGACUCCAUCUCAAAAAAAAAAAAAAAAAAAAAA